rnacentral:lncRNA from 1 species
CUGUAGGUGACAAUGCAAUGUUAUUUUGUACUGUUUUAUGUGCUUUCGUUUUUUGUUUUACGUGUUUAUUUUUAUUCUGUGGUAAGUCAACACUUCGGUGUUGACAUAAACAUCAAUUAUAUGGUCAUUUUUAUAAAUUUACUGUUUGCAAAAGUAAGAAGUAUUCUAAAUACUAAGGAUUUUCUUAUCCCAGGCAUAGAUAACUUAGCCGUAUUUGGCACCACUUUUUAGAAGUUUGGGUCACCAAUGAUCUUCAACUUUGUACUGUUUUGGCUUUCUUUACUAUUUUGAUCUGAGCGUC